rnacentral:tRNA from 1 species
GCCGAUGUAGCUCAGUUGGUAGAGCAACUCCAUGGUAAGGAGUAGGUCGCCGGUUCGAGCCCGGCCAUCGGCU